UCCAACAACCGUUCAUUUCCAUCUACUAAAUAACCUUUUUGUUCGAGUGCACAAAGAAUAUGAUAAAUUCAUUGAUGAACUGACUAGUUACUUUCCCCAUGAAAAGGAGGGUAUUCUCAAAUUCUACAGUGAAUGCUGGAAGGUUUGUCUAAAUUGAGAUUUUCAAUGCGCUGAAUUCCUUGGAGUUGAAGUCACUGGAAGAGCCACUCUACCUUUUUGGACAGUUUUUUCAGAAGCCCCUGGAAUGCUUGACACUAGGUACUUUGAUGUUGUUUAUUUUAAUCUGUAAGGCCACAAAUUUGAAUUUUUAACUUUAAUUCCAAAGGUAAUAUUGGUUUUUAGUUCCA